rnacentral:miRNA from 1 species
UGUUGUCUUGACCUGUCACUGCA